CCUACGGGAGGCAGCAGUGAGGAAUAUUGGUCAAUGGGCGCGAGCCUGAACCAGCCAAGUAGCGUGAAGGAUGACUGCCCUACGGGUUGUAAACUUCUUUUAUAAAGGAAUAAAGUGCGGCACGUGUGCCUCUUUGCAUGUACUUUAUGAAUAAGGAUCGGCUAACUCCGUGCCAGCAGCCGCGGUAAUACGGAGGAUCCGAGCGUUAUCCGGAUUUAUUGGGUUUAAAGGGAGCGUAGACGGGUUGUUAAGUCAGUUGUGAAAGUUUGCGGCUCAACCGUAAAAUUGCAGUUGAUACUGGCAGUCUUGAGUACAGUUGAGGUAGGCGGAAUUCGUGGUGUAGCGGUGAAAUGCUUAGAUAUCACGAAGAACUCCGAUUGCGAAGGCAGCUUACUAAACUGUCACUGACGUUGAUGCUCGAAAGUGUGGGUAUCAAACAGGAUUAGAUACCCUUGUAGUC
rnacentral:rRNA from 1 species